rnacentral:rRNA from 1 species
UAAGGAAUAUUGGACAAUGGGCGCAAGCCUGAUCCAGCCAUGCCGCGUGCAGGAUGACGGCCCUAUGGGUUGUAAACUGCUUUUGUACGGGAAAAAACCCUUCUACGUGUAGAAGGCUGAUGGUACCGUAAGAAUAAGGAUCGGCUAACUCCGUGCCAGCAGCCGCGGUAAUACGGAGGAUCCAAGCGUUAUCCGGAUUCAUUGGGUUUAAAGGGUGCGUAGGCGGAAUGAUAAGUCAGUGGUGAAAUCCUGCAGCUUAACUGCAGAACUGCCUCUGAUACUGUCAAUCUUGAGUACAUUUGAUGUGGGCGGAAUGUGUCAUGUAGCGGUGAAAUGCAUAGAUAUGACACAGAACACCGAUUGCGAAGGCAGCUCACAAAACUGUAACUGACGCUGAGGCACGAAAGCGUGGGGAUCGAACAGG